AGAGGGUUCGGCCCUCGGCGAACUGCUCCNUAACACGUGGAUAAUUUGCCCUUAGGUGGAGGAUAACCUCGGGAAACUGAGAAUAAUACUCCAUAGAUCCAGGAUACUGGAAUGCAUUUAGAUUAAAAGCUCCGGCGUCUAAGGAUAAGUCUGCGGACUAUCAGGUUGUAGUCAGGGUAAAGACCUGAUUAGCCUACAACGGAUACGGGUUGUGAGAGCAAUAACCCGGAGACGAUAUCUGAGACACGAUAUCGGGCCCUACGGGGCGCAGCAGGCGCGAAACCUUCGCACUGUGCGAAAGCGCGAUGAGGGGAUCCCAAGUGCUUGCUCGUAAGAGUAAGCUGUUUUUAUGUCUAAAAAGCAUAGAGAGUAAGGGCUGGGUAAGACGGGUGCCAGCCGCCGCGGUAAUACCCGCAGCUCAAGUGGUGAUCAUUAUUAUUGGGCCUAAAACGUCCGUAGCCGGUUUGGUAAAUGCCUGGGUAAAUCGUGUAGCUUAACUAUACGAAUUCCGGGUAGACUGCCNAACUUGAGACCGGGAGAGGCUAGAGGUACUCCUGGGGUAAAGUGAGAUCUGUAAUCCUAGGGGGACCCCAGUGGCGAA
rnacentral:rRNA from 1 species